GGAGUUCGAUCCUGGCUCAAGAUGAACACUGGCGGCAUGCUUAACACAUGCAAGUCGGAUGAAAAACAUGGGAAAUGAUGUUUCCAGUGGCAGACGGGUGAGUAACGUGUAAAAACCUGCCCUUGGGAGGGGAACGGCUGCUAAUACCCCGUAGACUGAGGAGCAAAAGGAGGAAUCCGCCAGAGGAGGGGCUCGCGUCUGAUUUGCUAGUUGGUGAGGCAAUAGCUUACCAAGGCAAUGAUUAGUAGCUGGUCCGAGAGGAUGAUCAGCCAUACUGGGACUGAGACAUGGCCCAGACUCUUACGGGAGGCAGUAGUGGGGAAUUUUCUGCAAUGGGCAAAAGCCUAAUAAAGCAAUGCCGCGUGGAGGUAGAUGGCCCAUGAGUUGUGAACUUCUUUUCCCGGAGAAGAAGCAAUGAUGGUAUCUGAGGAAUAAGCAUCGACUAACUCUAUGCCAGCCGCCCUGGUAAUAUAGAGGAUGCAAGCGUUAUCCGGAAUGAUUAGGCAUAAAGUAUCUGUAGGUGGAUUUUUAAGUCUGCCGUCAAAUCCCAGGGCUUAACCCUGGAUAGGCAGUGGAAACUACCAAGCUGGAGUAUGGUAGGGGCAGAGGGAAUUUCUAGUGGAGCGGUGAAAUACGUAGAGAUCGGAAAGAACACCAACGAUAAAAGCACUUUUCUAGGUCGACACUGACACUAAGAGAUGAAAGAUAGGGGAGCGAAUGGGAUUAGAUACCCCAGUAGUCCUAGCCAUAAAUGAUGGAUACUAGGCACUGUGCGUAUCGACCCAUGCAGUGCUGUAGCUAAUGUGUUAAGUAUCCCGCUUGGGGAUUACGUUCACAAGAAUGAAACUCAAAGGAAUUGAUGGGGGCCCGCACAAGUAGUGGAGCAUGUGGUUUAAUUUGAUGCAAAGAGAAGAACCUUACCAGGGCUUGACAUGCCGUGAAUCCUCUUGAAAGAGAGAGGUGCCUUCAGGAACACGGACACAGGUGGUGUAUGGCUAUCGUCAGCUCAUGCUGUAACAUAUUGGGUUAAGUCCCGCAAUAAGAGAAACCCUCGUGUUUAGUUGCCAUCGUUGAGUUUGGAACUCUGAACAGACUGUCGGUGAUAAGCCGGAGAAAGGUGAGGAUGACGUCAAGUCAUCAUGGCCCAUAUGCCCUGGGCGACACACCUGCUACAAUAGCCGGGACCAAGGGUUUCGAUCCCACGAGGGUGAGCUAACCCCAAAAACCCAUCCUCAGUUCAGAUUGCAGGCUGCAACUUGCCUGUAUGAAGCCAAAAUUGCUAAUAAUCGCCGGUCAGCCAUAUGGCGGUGAAUUCGUUACCGGGCCUUGUACACACUGCCCGUCACACUAUGGGAGCUGGCCAUCCCUGAAGUCGUUACCUUAACUGCAAUGAGGGGGAUGCCAAAGGCAGGGCUAGUGAGUGGAGUGAAGUGGUAACAAGGUAGCCGUACUGGAAGGUGCGGCUG
rnacentral:rRNA from 1 species